rnacentral:rRNA from 1 species
GACGAACGCUGGCGGCGUGCUUAACACAUGCAAGUCGAACGGAAAGGCCCUGCUUUUGUGGGGUGCUCGAGUGGCGAACGGGUGAGUAACACGUGAGUAACCUGCCCUUGACUUUGGGAUAACUUCAGGAAACUGGGGCUAAUACCGGAUAGGAGCUCCUGCUGCAUGGUGGGGGUUGGACAGUUUCGGCGGUUGGGGAUGGACUCGCGGCUUAUCAGCUUGUUGGUGGGGUAGUGGCUUACCAAGGCUUUGACGGGUAGCCGGCCUGAGAGGGUGACCGGACACAUUGGGACUGAGAUACGGCCCAGACUCCUACGGGAGGCAGCAGUGGGGAAUAUUGCACAAUGGGCGGAAGCCUGAUGCAGCAACGCCGCGUGCGGGAUGACGGCCUUCGGGUUGUAAACCGCUUUCGCCUGUGACGAAGCGUGAGUGACGGUAAUGGGUAAAGAAGCACCGGCUAACUACGUG